rnacentral:rRNA from 1 species
UUUUUAUAUAAAAGUUAUUUUAUAAUUGUUAUAAUUAUAUAAGAAAUUAUAUGUGUUUGUAUAAUAAUUUUUUUAUUUUAUUUUGAGAAAAUUAGAGUGUUUUAAGCAUGAUUUUUUAAUUGAAUAGUGGAGUAUGGAAUAUUAAAAAUGUAAUAAAAUUUAUUUAUGUGUUGGUUUUAAAGUGUUAAUUAAUAAUUUCUAAGAAUAGUUGGGGGUAUUUUUAUUUAAUAGCAAGAGGUGAAAUUCUUAGAUUUGUUGAAGAUAAAUUAUUGUAAAAACAUUUAUUAAAAAUAUUUUUUUUAAUUAAGAACAAAAGUUAGGGGAUCGAAGACGAUCAGAUACCGUCGUAGUCUUAAUUAUAAACUAUGCUGAUUAGAGAUUAGACGUUUUUAAAUAAAUGAUUUGUUUAGUAUUUUUAGAGAAAUCGAAGUUUUUAAGUUUUGGGGGGAGUAUAAUUGCAAGAUUGAAACUUAAAGGAAUUGACGGAAAGGCACCACCAGAAGUGGAGUUUGCGGUUUAAUUUGACUCAACACAAGAAAUUUUAUUAGGUCUAGACAUAUGAAGGAUUGACAGAUUAAUAGUUUUUUUUUGAUUUUAUGGGUGGUA